AGCCAUUUUUUUUGUUUACGAGACGCUAUCUCGUUUAAUGUCUGAAGCGUCUUCUCAUCAUCUUAAUUCGCUGUACUCGUUCCUAUUUUUAGAUCCGUACAUUUUUUAUUAAAUAAUAUUUUAUAUAGUUAUUUAGUUUUGUUUUCUUAUUUAGGCGUUAGUGUUAAUUUUUGUUAAGAUAACCGCUAGACACAAUGGCCGACAACCAACAGCAGAACGGCUCCCAACAAUUUGAAACUACAGAAGGGCAACAGCAACAACAUAUAAAUGGUUCGGCUGAUAGUUCUAACUCGAAUAAUGAUUCUGGACAGUUUGAAUGUGUCAGGGACGAUGACAGAAAAAUUUUUGUUGGCGGAUUAAAAGGAGAGACCACAGAAAAAGAUUUAAGUGAGCAUUUCAGUCAAUUUGGUGAGAUUGAAAAUAUAAAUGUUAAAGUCGAUGCUGCUACAGGCCGAGCAAGGGGCUUUGCUUUCAUUGUAUAUAAGACUAUGGAAGGCUUAGAAAAUGCUUUAGCAUGUACUAAUCAUGUAAUUAAUGAUAAAAAAAUUGACCCUAAAAAAGCGAAGGCGCGGCAUGUCAAGUUAUUUGUUGGAGGAUUAUCACCUGACUUAACUGAUGAUGAUAUUAAAGAUUAUUUUAAACGUUAUGCUCCAUUAGUAAAUGCUGAAAUGCCAUAUGAUAAAGUUAAGAAUCAACGGAAAGGGUUUUGUUUUGUAACUUUUGAUUGCAUGCAAGCCGUAACUGAAAUUUUAAAAACUCCUAAGCAUGUGAUUAAUGGAAAACAAGUGGAUGUCAAAAAAGCAGCCCUUAAAGUUGAACCAUAUGGUAUGAUGCCUGGUGGUUCUGGACCAAUGAGAGGAAUGAGAGGAAAUGUUCGAGGUCGUGGUGGUAGAGGAGGAUUCUUACCCCAGUCAGGUUAUGCACCAGGUGCACCUGGAUAUGGUUUUGGAGGCUAUGAUUAUUAUAAUCAAUAUUCUGGCUAUAGUCCAGAUUAUAGUUAUAGUUAUGGUUAUCCUAGCUAUGGUGCUGGUGCUGGAGCAGAUUAUCAAUUUGGAGGUUAUGAACCACCAGCACCACGUGGAGUACAUGGAAAUCGUGGAGGAAAAGGUAAACCAUAACCUUUGAUUUGAUUGCAUUCCCAAAAUUGUUGAACAUAGUGUAAAAUAAAAAUUUUCCUCAAAGAAAACCAGUCAAGACAUCAGCUUAAACGUCUAUUGCUGAGCCAAAUACAGUCAUCGUAAGCCAUACUGUUUAUGUUAACAGUAUUGUUGAUUUCGUUUUGCUUAUGUACAAUAAUAUAUAAAUAAAAGUUGAAUAAAAAAUUUAUAAAAUUGGA